GGGUUGUGAGGUUAAGCGACUAAGCGUACACGGUGGAUGCCCUGGCAGUCAGAGGCGAUGAAGGGCGUGCUAAUCUGCGAUAAGCGCCGGUAAGGUGAUAUGAACCGUUAUAACCGGCGAUACCCGAAUGGGGAAACCCAGUGUGACUCGUCACACUAUCAUUAACUGAAUCCAUAGGUUAAUGAGGCGAACCGGGGGAACUGAAACAUCUAAGUACCCCGAGGAAAAGAAAUCAACCGAGAUUCCCCCAGUAGCGGCGAGCGAACGGGGAGGAGCCCAGAGCCUGAAUCAGCAUGUGUGUUAGUGGAAGCGUCUGGAAAGGCGCGCGAUACAGGGUGACAGCCCCGUACACAAAAGCGCAUGUGCUGUGAGCUCGAUGAGUAGGGCGGGACACGUGGUAUCCUGUCUGAAUAUGGGGGGACCAUCCUCCAAGGCUAAAUACUCCUGACUGACCGAUAGUGAACCAGUACCGUGAGGGAAAGGCGAAAAGAACCCCGGCGAGGGGAGUGAAAAAGAACCUGAAACCGUGUACGUA
rnacentral:rRNA from 2 species